AUCUCAUGGUGCGGAUAGGCAGCGACAUACUCUUGCAUUCUCUCCCAAGCAUCGGGAAUGGAUUCCUCGGCUUGUUGUGUAAAACUAGAGAUUUUCUUACGAAGAGC
rnacentral:snoRNA from 1 species